rnacentral:misc_RNA from 1 species
CAGGUCGAAGAUGCCGCGGUUCAAAGUGAAGGAGGAGGUGAUGGCGCGCUGGCCGGGCUCCGCGCUGUGGUUCAGGGGCUGGGUGGUGGACAUGAACGACAUCGAGUACCAGAUUAGAUUCGACGACGAGGCGAAGUCCGAGAUGGUCCUCAAAUACAAGGAUGUCAGGAGUGCAGGAGAGUUCAAGCGUUCAUCCAGCAAGGGCAGGUCGCGGAGCCGUGGCCGAUCCAGGAGUCGGGGUCGCACGUCCAGGGGCAGAAGUCCCACCCGCAAGAGUCCUGCCCGCAAAAGUCCUGCCCGUAACCAGAGUCCAGGGCGGAGAGGGCCUGGCCGGCCAUCUAAGAACAAGGUGAAAGAGAUUGACAAUGUCAUCACCACCACCACCACCACCACUGAGGAGGAGGUGACGGUGCUGACCAGAGGAGCGCAGGAAGCCGAGGCAUUGAUCUGGGCCAAGAAUGACUCCCCACUGCCGUCAUUGCGACCCAGACUGGCCCGGGCUGACCUGCACACACCCCGCACCUCCACACCCACCAGACAGUCUCCUCGCCUCACUGUGCUCACCAACAACAAGGUGAAUGAUGUGGAGGUGAACAACGUGAAGCCACAAAAGGUGGUAGUGGAGGAGAGCCCCGUGAAGCGGCCGGGUGUGGUGCAGCGCCUGGGCAGUUGCCUGUGUGGCCUGGUGUGUGGCGCCGGCUGUCUCUUGAAGAGAGUGUUGAGUGCCCUGGUGCCCUCCAUGGCCACCAUCACCACCCUGCCUGCCUUAGCAUUCAUGCUGGCCAUGCCUGUUGUCCUCAAUGAAAUGUGCACAAAGAGCAAAUGCACCGUGAUGGAGUUGCCGUCCAUCCCUCAGAAGCUGCAGUAUUACUAUGACCCGCUGGCAAUAGCCAUUGUGUUGGGUUUCAUGAUUGUGCAGACCUUGCUGUGCCUGGUGCCGCUGGGCAGGAAAGUGCAGCCCAUCAGUGGAGCCUCUGUGCGCUGCAAUGGGUUUGUGGCAGUGGUGUUGUCUCUGUCGGUGGUGCCUCUGUGCCUGUACAUGGAUUACAACAUACUGGUGGUGUACUCCAAGUAUCGGCAUGUGAUGGCCACCAGCCUGGUAAUAGGGAUCGUGCUGUCCCUGGCCGCCUACAUCCACGGCCACUAUGCCCCCAAGGAUGCCAGGAACCCGGCCGGCAACUCUGGCUCCUUCCUGGCCGACCUCUUUGUGGGGCGAGAGGUGGCACCUGUCGUGUUGUCCCUGGACCUCAAGUUUGUGCUGGUCCGCAUCGUUUGCCUGGCCCAGAUUGUGAUCAACAUACUCAUUGUAGUGAAGGACAUGCAGGGCCACCAGGGCCAGUAUAGCCCCACCAUGCUGCUGGCCUCCAUCAUGCAGAUAUUCUACGCAGCCAACUGGAUCUGGUUUGAGGAUGCCUACCUCACCACUUAUGAGUACCAGCGCCAAGGGUUUGGGCUCUUCCUCAUCCUUGGAGAUCUGUCAAUGCCCUUCAUCCUGCCCAUCUUCUCCAGAUUUGUCUUGAACCACCGGACUGAGCUGGAGUGGUACUGGCUGACGGCAAUUGCUCUCCUCAACCUGACGGGCUACACCAUCUGCCGCGGCUCCAACAACCAGAAGCACGCCUUCCGCUCCAACCCAUCCGACCCUGCCCUGGCCCGCCUGGAGAGUCUCCCCACCGCUGCCGGCACCAGGCUGCUUGUGUCUGGCUGGUGGGGGCUGGUGCGUCAUCCCAACUACCUCGGAGACAUCCUCAUCGUCAUCUCCUGGGCCCUUGUCUGUGGCUUCACCCAUGCCCUGCCCUGGGUGCUGGUGGGUCUAGACGUGCUGUUCCUGGUGGCGAGGACCUAUGAGGUAGAGGCGUGCUGCAGCAAGAAGUACGGUGCCGCCUGGGACAGCUACACUAAGAGGGUCAAGUGUCGCCUCAUACCCAAAGUGUUUUAGGCCAAACUGCGUGAACUUGCUCAGCCUCACCUGUUGAGCCCCUCUGCUGGACAAUGAAGGAAAGUGUGGUAGGCUGUGAUGUGCCUGUGCUCAUGUGACCCCCGGCCUGUGUUGCCUGGCUGGGGCGUGAGAGCAGCCCGUGCUGCUGUGUUGCUGCGCUGCUCUGCCUCACGCGUCAGCUGCCUCAACACAGCUGGAGGUUGUUUUAUCUUAUCAGAAAAAUUCACAGCAAGAUUAGUAUUUUUAAAAUAUAUAAAGUUGUAAAUACUAACUUAUGCCUUUGGGUAUGCCAAGACUGACAGAUUGAAGGAGAUAGAAGGAGUCAGAAGUGAUGCAAUGCUCUAGUGUAAGUACAAAAUGUACAUAGCAUAUUUUUAAGGAACACAAAUUUUUCAUAUAAAUUUAUAAUUGGAGAGAGCUAAAGAAUAUUUUAAGAAGCGCCAAGAGGAUUCGUCUGGUAGGUAGUGUUGCAUUAGUGCUGUAAGGCUGAGAAGGCCCCAUGACCCACCACCCACGACCCCCUCCAGCAGCAGGCAGAGGAGUGAUCUCAAGAGUGGCGGUAGCCUUGUUGGUGUGCCCUCAAACCCUCCACCUCACACUGACAGAUCCCAUCCUGCCGUACAACCUUUCUCGUGUACUGUACAGCAUGUUUUUACAUUUAUGCCUGUAAUUUAGGACUUUAUUAUGCAGUUCUUCCCAUAAAUUGUGACUGGAGCAGAUCCCAGAGAUGUUCUUGGUUCUAGGAAUGUGAGCAUCUCUGGGAAUGUUUUGAGUUGCACUUUAUGGAAAGUCACCUGCUUCACCUGAACAAGCCGACAUCACAAAUAGGGACCUGCCAUACAUGUAAGUUUGGACGUUUCCUCAGAUUAUCUAAACCUAUAAUUAUAGCAUAUAAAUUAAAACUGGAAAUUUCAAUGCGUGUAAGAAAGACAGUAAAGUUUACUUAUAAUUAUGUAUAUAAGUACUUUUGGUUUUGAGAUAAUUACUACCAGGUUAUUACUUGUACAGCUUGCAAGUAUUGAUGUGUAAGUUUUCCAUAUAAAUAAAACUCCUUUUGUAAUAAA